CCCGUACGUUGCAACGGGGUAUAGAAUUUAUUAUUUGAUAAUUGUACACUUUUUGUAAAAUUUAAAUGAGUUUAGUCCAACCUUCAAUCAAAUAAAUAUAACCCCACCAAAACAAACAAAACUACCAAACUAAUAUUGGAAAUCACCUUGAGAAGAAAUAGAAAAAUCAUGUCCCAUAAAAAAAUCAGAAAUCUUCAUGUACAGUGGAGGAAAAAGAGUAAAAAAUGAUAUAAAAAUAUGUAUAGAAAUUAAAAGAGGAAGAAUAUUACGUAAAGAAAGCAUAAAAGCAUCACAUGAGGGAACAAUUCCAUCAAACAACACG
rnacentral:lncRNA from 1 species